UACAGGGGGUGCGAGCGUUGCUCGGAAUCACUGGGCGUAAAGCGCACGUAGGCGGAUCUUUAAGUCAGGGGUGAAAUCCCGAGGCUCAACCUCGGAACUGCCUUUGAUACUGGGGAUCUCGAGUCCGGGAGAGGUGAGUGGAAUUCCGGUGUGAGUGGUGGAAUAUGCGUAGAUAAUCGGGAGAACACCAGUGGGCGAAGGCGGCUGCCGUCUGGGGCCCUACCUGACGCUGAGAACGCGGAAAGCGUGGGGGAGCGAAACCGGAUUCAGA
rnacentral:rRNA from 1 species